GCUACGGAGGCAGCAGUGAGGAAUAUUGGUCAAUGGCCGUAAGGCUGAACCAGCCAAGUAGCGUGAGGGAAGACUGCCCUAUGGGUUGUAAACCUCUUUUAUGCGGGGAUAAAGGUGUCCACGUGUGGAUGUUUUCAGGUACCGCAUGAAUAAGGACCGGCUAAUUCCGUGCCAGCAGCCGCGUUAUUACGGAAGGUCCGGACUUUAUCCGGAUUUAUUGUGUUUAAAGGGAGCGUAGGCCGGUCUUUAAGCGUGCCUUGAAAUUUUGUGGCUCAACCAUGGGAGUUCGGGGCGAACUGGAGAACUUGAGUGCGCGGAAGGCAGGCGGAAUUCGUGGUGUAGCGGUGAAAUGCUUAGAUAUCACGAAGAACCCCGAUUGCGAAGGCAGCCUGCCGCAGCGUUACUGACGCUGAAGCUCGAAAGCGCGGGUAUCGAACAGGAUUAGAUACCCUGGUAGUC
rnacentral:rRNA from 1 species